UACGGAAGGGGCAAGCGUUGUUCGGAAUCAUUGGGCGUAAAGGGCGCGCAGGUGGUUCUGUAUGUCUGCCGUGAAAGCAUACAGCUCAACUGUAUUGUGUCGGUAGAAACUGCAGGACUUGAGGCUGGGAGGGGCUGGUGGAAUUCCCUGUGUAGCGGUGAAAUGCGUAGAGAUGGGGGAGAACACUCGUGGCGAAGGCGGCCAGCUAGACCAGUUCUGACACUGAGGCGCGACAGCCAGGGGAGCAAACGGG
rnacentral:rRNA from 1 species